UUUAAACAUAGUCAUGAGUAUCUGUGUCCAACUUUGAUCAUCCGUCUUAUUUGAAUUUUUUUAUGCUUAGUAUUUUGUUUGUUAUUAGAUGAUAAAACAUGAAUAAUAUUUUAUACGUGACUUAUAUUUUUUAAUUUUUUUAAAAAAAUUUAGAUAAGAUGGAUGAUUGAAGUUGAACACAGAAACGUAUGAUUGCGCUUAAA
rfam:Oryza punctata chromosome 7, whole genome shotgun sequence.